rnacentral:lncRNA from 1 species
CUCCAAGUCGAGCUGUUUGCAGGAGGCAUGACUGAAGUCACAGGCCCUGAGUUCAAAUCCUGCCUCGGACGCAGUUCAGUAGGUAACAUCCUGGCUGGAGUCCAAGGCCCUAGUUUCAGCCUCACACUCACCAUCUCUGCAGCCUCUUUGGGCCUGUCACUACCCUAGGAGGAAGAGGAAGUCGGAGAGAAUGAAUCCCGAGGUCCCUCCAGGCUCCAGAGCCAGGAGCCAGGAACUUUGGACUUUGUCGCUCAGCCUCAGGCAGGCACUUUCCUCUUGUGGACACACACCCAUUGGCUUCUCAGGUUUGGCUGCACUGGGAGAGUUGUGGGCUGUCCUGGAGCCUGGGUUUGACAGCUCUGGACCAGAGGACCUUUAAAGUCCCUUCCAGCUCCAGAUAUGCCUCCCGUGAUUUUUUUGAUAUCUUUGCUGGUCCUGGGGGAUCCAGGUCUGGCAGGACCUGAGACACCCUCGUGUCCUUCGCUCCCUAUCUCCAACCCUUAGCGUUUUAAAGCUGAGGAAACUGGAACCAAUUGAUCAAUAGCCAUUUGUUAAGCCGCUGCCAUGGGCCGGGCAUUAUACUAGGGACUGAGAAUAUGAAGACAAAGACAAAACAGCCCCUGCCUACAAAGAUCUUUUGUUCUUUUAGGGGAGAAUUUGUAUAAAGUAAAACUCUUUUCUUCCCCCCAUUAAGUAUGACUUGCUAGGUUGCAGGAGCUACCAGGGAGGAUCUUCUUCCAAGUGAAAUCAACACCUUUGCAAAGCUUCCAGUCUCGGAGUAUUGUCCAGGGCACCGAAGAUAACCAUUGAGUGAUUGGUUCAAGGUCACACUGCCUGCCUGGGGCUGUGGUGGGACAUUCCUGACUCAGAGGUCAGCCUCCUGCUCUUCUUUAUACAGAAAGUGGAAAUACAGCGAGCCUGCCAUAACGCUCUGGCCACUCAUACUCCUAUCUGAAGCCUCCUGCAUAUGCCGUCUCCUUCUAUUAAAAUUUAAAAUCCUUUAAAGCAGACACUGACUUCUGUUUAUAUUGCCAGUGUUUAGCAUAGCUCCUCCUACCUAGGAAGGACUUCAUCAAUGUUUGUUCUUUCAUUCAUUCAUUCAUUCAU